GGUCCUAUAGUGUAGCUUGGUUAUCACUUUCGGUUUUGAUUUCGCAAGGAGUUGAAAUUUCCGAACAACAUCAGUUCGAAUCUGGUUAGGACCU